rnacentral:lncRNA from 1 species
UAAAAGUAUCUCAAGGUGCCAAAGUUUUACACUAAAAUUUGAUACCGUGAGAAAAUAACAUUAAAUACCACUUGCCAUAAACCUCGAAUUCUGUCCUCAGAGUUGACAGUUGGACCAUGGAAUGCUAGAUAAACCAAAUAACACUAGUUCUGUUCUUUAAGGUAAUGUAUUUCUUCUUUCAGGUACCUGUAUCCUUUUGGCUUUCAGUUUAGCUGAUCAAUUUGGCCACAAAACAUAUGAAUCUAUCGCUGAAGCACACCCCAUCUAAAGAAAAAUUCAGGAGUAGAAUAUUUGAGUGCAUAGUGCAUAACUGAUUCGUUCAUUCCAUGUAAAACAUCAGUCUCCCUUGUUCAGGGCAAAAGAAGGGACAUGCAACCAUGAUCGUUGCCACAGUUUACUCUCUUUCCAUCGUCUGUACACGCCUGUUUUUCUGGUUCCUAAGCAUCAGAAGAAAGCAAAAAAGAGGUAAGCAAAUGAAUAACAGCUCAUGCUUUACCGGAGAUAGCAUCUAGCACUUAUUUCAGUAUCAUGCAAUAACUAAUGGAAAGAUGUGCAUCUAGCAAUUAUAAACUCAAUGGAACAGACCACAAACAUGGAUGAAGUAAUGAGACUUUGGAAGAGAGAAGAUUCUGGUUCAGAGUUCUCCUUGUAUGAUUUUAAUCAGAUUGUUGAUGCCACAAACAACUUCUCAGCCAGCAACAUAUUAGGAGAGGGAGGCUUUGGCCCUGUUUACAAGGUAUUUUCUAGUACAAUUAUCACAUAUAAUUAAUUAAUGGUGAUGGGAUAUGUAGGGUGAUUGAUGAUUUUACAGGGAGUGUUCCCUGAUGGACAAGAGUUAGCAAUAAAAAAGCUCGCUGCACGGUCAAGACAAGGUCUAGUGGAGUUCAAAAAUGAGAUCCAGCUCGUAGCAAAACUUCAGCACAAAAACCUUGUUAGGCUGCUUGGCUGUUGUGUUCAUGAGGAACAGAAGAUACUGAUCUACGAAUACCUUCCCAACAAAAGCUUGGAUCACUUCAUUUUUGGCAUGUUUUCCUGCAUAGCUAUUCACUCUCUUUUGUAGCACUUUCGUAUUAACCCUUGAGCUUGCAUUAUAUUGCUUGCAGAUCCUAUCAAACGGGCAUCACUAAGCUGGAAAAUACGGACAAAAAUAGUUGAAGGAAUAGCUCAGGGGCUUCUAUACCUUCACAAGCAUUCACGAAUACGGAUAAUCCAUAGGGACGUGAAAGCAAGUAACAUUCUGUUGGACUCUGAGUUAAACCCUAAAAUUUCUGAUUUUGGGAUGGCAAGGAUAUUCCCAUUGGAUGCCUCUCAAGCAAAAGCAAGCAGACUUGUGGGAACAUUGUAAGAGAAAAUAAAAAACUAGUUAUGUUAGUUACUAAAGUUUCUACCUACACAUUUGCUUUCUGACUCUACACAUUGCCAUCUUCCCAGUGGUUACAUGGCACCUGAAUAUGCAUCUGAGGGCCUUCUCUCAAUCAAAUCAGAUGUUUUCAGUUUCGGUGUCCUGCUUCUUGAAAUUAUGAGUGGAAGGAGGAGCGCAGGGUUUCAGCACUAUGGAGAAUUUCAGAAUCUUCUUGAAUAUGUAAGGAACAGAUAAUCUUUAGAACUGGCAGAACAAACAUUUUUCUCCAAAAGAAAAUUGAACAGAUCCUCAGAUUUUUUUUUAAUAUUAGUGGCUGGUUGUGGGUCAUCGCCCAGUUUUUUCCCCACAAAUCAUAGGGAUGUUUUCCCUUCCUUGUCCUGUUUUAUUGGAUUUGAGUUUGUAUUGCAGAAAGAUAUGGAUAUCCUUAACAUCAUACCUGCUAAUUCUUUUUCAGGCAUGGGGAAUGUGGAAAGAUGGAAGAUGGUAUGAGUUCGUUGAUGAAUCAUUUGGUGAUGAAUAUGGACAAGGAGACAUGAUGAGAUGUCUCAUGGUAGCACUAAUGUGUGUUCAAGAGAAAGCAGUUGAGCGUCCCACUAUGUCCGAUGUUGUUGUAAUGCUUAGCAGUGAUAACAUCACCAUACCAGAACCAAAGAAACCAGCUUACUCACAUGUCAGAGUAGACGUGUCAAGAGACGUGAAUGCAUCAUGCAGCAGAAAUGACAUAAACAUAACUGCUAUUGAUGGUAGAUAGUACAAUAUAGAUGUAUAAUUUACGGUUAAUUUUACCAUUCUUGAUAAAUUACCUUAAUGUAUUAAAAUUUGAGUUUUUUUAUCAUUCUUGAAAAGUACCUUAAGAUACCAAAAACUUUAGUACAAAAUUCUAAUGCUUUGAGAUACUUUUUCAAGGAUGUUAAAAAAGCCCCAAAAUUUUUAAGUAAUUUUGAUAUCUCAAGGUAUAAGUCAUCUGGAGAUAUAAAUUUUACUCUAAAAAUAUGAUAUUUUCGCAUACUGAAGAGGUACAGUGAUAGUAAAAUUGCUCAUAAUUCAUAUACGCGGGCUAAUGGUACUGGCCUUAUCAGGUUGAUUAAUUAGAUAGAAUAUUACUAGUAGUUGUCUAUUGUUCCUCACCACUCCUUGCAGUUCCAUAUGCAGCAACAAUUCCUAUGUUAUCCUAUUAGAGCAUGUAUAGUAGUAGACUAUAAACAAUUAUAAAUAUAUUUUAAGGAGAUAAAAUAAGAGAGAAUAACAAUGAACUAUAGAUUUAUAGCCAGCUACAAAACAAAACCCAAAACCCAAUGUAUGUGGAACCAUAUAUUAAUAGUGUAGUACAUGUUUGUAGGUAACUAUUGUAUGAAUUAACUAUUAGAUUAGUUAUAGAUAAUUUAAAAGCUAAUAGUUAGCUAUACUUUUGAACUUGCUCUUACGAAGUUCAGAAUCACGAGACAUUCAUUUUCCUUUUGUUUUCAAAGCAAUGAAGUGUUAGCAUAGACCUGCUAACAUGAAACUGACAAUUCCAGAUUACCAGAAAAGACAACUAUUCAUAGGGUUGAUAGGCCAAGAAGAGAUAACACUAGUGGGGACAUACAUUACCCUUUGCUUAAUCUGAAAUAAAGACCGCAGCAUACCCAUCUUACAGGAUAAGCAAGCCCUAUCAAGAAAAUCUAUCCAACCAAUGACCAAUAAAUCUGUAAUCUAAUAUUUAGGCCUUGUUUAGUUCCCAAAUUUUUUUCUAAAAAUAUCACAUCAAAUUUUUGGACAUCUAAAUAAAGCAUUAAACAUAGAUGAAUCAAAAAACUAAUUGCACAGUUAUAAAAGAAAUCUUAAGACGAAUUUUUUGAGCCUAAUUAGCCCAUGAUUAGCCAUAAGUGCUACAGUAACCAACAUGUGCUAAUGAUAGAUUAAUUAGGCUCAAAAGAUUUGUCUCGCGGUUUCUAGGCUAGCCGUGAAAUUCGUUUUUUCAUUCGUGUCUGAAAACCCCUUCCGAUAUCCGGUCAAACAUUUGACGUGACACUUCUCUCAAAAAUUUUCUCAAUUUAAACACCACCUUGGCUAACAGAUUGAAAUAGUAUUAAACCAAUGCAGCUGUAUUGAUAGCUACUGCCUCAUAUCGGACAUGAUUGCUCUGCCAGAAUCUUGUUGACUUGUUCCAGUUGACCCUGAUGCCAUGCCUCCUGGAAUAAUCCUUUCCCCACAUGACAGGUUCACACCUUGACCAUCAGCUAAAUCCUGUUCAAGGAUGUCUAACCUGCAAGUCCUUUUCACUCUAGUAUAAGCCUUAUACAAGUGUAGUCAAAGUUUAAGCCUUAUAUCCCAUUACCUCAUGGUAGACAAAGAGAAGAUGGUGUUUGCUACUCCUCCAUGACAUACUGCCAUUGAAUUCAAGUCAGGUAUGCUGCUGUUCUCUCUCCUAGUUCUCUUCAUCUCGAGCUCAGUUCUGUCGGCUGCCCAGGAACUCUGCAGUGAUUAUAAUGGCGCCAUGUACAUGCCAAAUAGCACCUACAGAUCCAAUCUUAUCUCCCUCGCUGCAACACUGAUUGCUACUGCCACAGAGUUACACUCAGCUACUGGCAUGGCUGGCACAGGCCCUGAUAAAAUCUAUGGUGCAGUGUUUUGCCGAGGCGAUUCUGAUGGCUCCAACUGUCGCAAGGGCCUAACUGAGGCCCUUGAUGCAGCCAUCAACAGCAAAAAUGGCAACUAUUACUUUCCCCAGAACAAGAAUGUUGCCUACUACUACGAUCAAGACCAGGCACAGAUACGCUUCUCCAACCAUAAUUUCAUCUCCAACUUCAGCAAAGAGCCGGUGUGCACAGUGAAUACUAACCUGAAUGCUGUGAUAGCUUCUGUGGCUAAGCAAUAUGAGUUUGAGGAUCUUGUCACCAAGGUGCUUCGUGCACUUGCUGAUGCCGCAGUAAGUCGAGCAGAGAGGUAUGCAGUAGGCAGACAGAGAUUUGAGGAGACAGGACAGACAGUGUAUGGGCUGGUGCAGUGCAUGAGGAGCAUGCCAUCAGAGCAAUGCAUGGACUGCCUGAAUGGUAUCAUCUCAGACAGGAAGAGUAAGAUUAGCACUGCCCAGAUGGGAGCGGCCAUUCUUGGGGUGUGGUGCACACUGCGGUAUGAGAUGGAUACACAGUUCUUCAGUGACACCAAGAUGCUGCUUCUAGAUGUGCUCAAAAGUAUGUUACCCUGCAUAGUUCUGUUAAUUGCAUAAAAAUUUUGCAUCCUAUUGACCAUUCAAGUAUUCAAUCUAUGAGGGUUAAAAUAAGCAAAAUGAAAUUAUUAGACUCAUUUUAUCCAAAAGAGACUUGGAUUUCAAACAAGAGGGUGCUUGCAUUAGGUAAGUUUCUUUGGCACCUUCUGGAAAGUUUUGAUAGAAAAUUGCCCCUUAUCUAAACAUAUCCUAAUGUAAAUUGCUACAAACAAAAUCUUGAUUCACUGUACUUUUUAGUUGAUGAAUCAUACCUUGCUCCACCAUCCGGUUUUCCCUAGCCAUGAUGCUGGAGAUAAAUUUGACAAUAAGAAAUUGUGAAUUAGUUUCUUUAUAAUUCAUGUUGAGUGAGGAGGUGUUUUUCAGUAGUUGGCAUUGUUCCAUCAAUAUGGUUCUCUUGCUUAACAUGUGCCUUUUGGGACUGCAAACUAUAACUCAGUGGUUUUAUAGGUGAACAUAAAGGCAAGAAAGCAUUUUUUCGACGCGAGAACACAGCCUUGGUCAGUAUUGGAGGGUUCAUACUUGUAGUAUCACUUUCUUGUUUGCUUUUUCAUGUAUGGAUCAAAACACAACAACAGAGAGGUAUGCAUUAGCAAUUUAGCAUUCACAUUUUCAACUGCAUAACACCAGUGCUUAUUUUCUCACAGAUGUAUCAAGAUUCAAAAGCAUGACAUAUCGUUAUUGUUUUUCAGAACAAGCAUUAUCUAAAUUACAACGGCUGUCCUCGGUGAUAAAAACUGUAAUAUAUCUAUGGAGGACAGAAGGAACCAAUUCGGACUUUUUCCUGUAUGAUUUCUCCCAGAUAAAAGAAGCUACAAAUAAUUUCUCAAUUGAUAACAAACUGGGGCAAGGUGGCUUUGGUCCUGUCUAUAAGGUGGCUAUGCGCUUGCAUUGUAAACAUAUUCUUACUCAAUAUACCAUUAAUAAAAUAAGUAAAUGCUUAGUUGUUGAUAUUUUGUUCCAAAUAAAGAAAUUGCUUUUGAAUUGCAUUUCUGGUAGUUACCAAAUAUGAAUAUUUUAAUCAUUUUCUUCUCUUAUUGAAAAUAUGGCCAUAUCGAUGCACCUUUAUAACCUUUUGGUAAAAUCAGUUGCAGCGUGAUGGAAAAAAAAACUAACAUGUUUGCUCUUUUAUCAAUCUUAGGGGCAAUUGAGCGGAGGACUUAAAAUAGCAGUCAAGAGACUAGAAAUUUGUUCUUUACAAGGUUUACUAGAGUUCCAAAAUGAAACUCAACUUAUAGCAAAGCUUCAACACAAAAAUCUCAUCAAACUGCUGGGAUGUUGCACUCAAGGAGAUCAAGAAAAGAUUCUUGUAUAUGAAUAUAUGGAAAACAAAAGCCUAGACUUCUUCAUCUUUAGUGAGCCCUCUCUUUUGUCUGUGUUUGAAUAUGAUCCUAUUUACAGUUUAUAAAUCUUAGUUGAUAAUUGUAUAUGUUCUGCAGAUAAUGUAAAAGGAGCACAGCUAAGCUGGUCAAAACGUCUGCAUAUAAUUGAUGGGAUAGGGCAAGGGCUUCUUUAUCUUCACAACUUUUCAAGGUUAUGUGUUGUUCAUCGGGAUUUGAAAGCCAGUAACAUUCUCUUGGAUAGUACAAUGAAUCCAAAAAUAUCUGAUUUUGGGAUGGCCAAACUAUUAUACUCAAAUAUGGCAGAGUCAAAUACCACCAGAAUAGUGGGUACACAGUAAGCACAUACUAACACGUCCAUUUUAGUAAAUAUCGUAUUGAGACAUGCUUCUUUCGUCUUCUUUUGUUUGUCUUGAGGGAGGAGUGGCAUGCAUGUAAGCAUCCAAUCAGCAAUCUUUAAAUUCUCUCUUUUGCAUCUGUGACAUGUGUCAAUUUUGCUUCCAUCACACAGUGGCUACAUACCUCCCGAGUAUGCUUUUGAGGGGGUUUGCUCGACCAAGUCGGAUGUGUUUAGCUUUGGUGUGUUGAUUUUGGAAAUAGUAAGUGGAAAGAGGACAGCCCACAUCUAUCAACACAAUGGGAAACUAUACAAUCUCAUCUCAUUUGUGAGUACACCCCAAAUCCUGAUUUGCACUUGUAUGCCAUAUCUACAAUGUAGUGUAAAAACUAAUUACUUGAUCACUUGGUAAUAGGCUUGGCAACUUUGGAGAGAUGGAAAAUGGGGUGAUCUGGUUUAUUGUCCUCCAGGGAACAAACAUCAAGAGAUAGAAAGGUGUAUCCAUGUUGCCCUUUUAUGUGUUCAAGAAAGUGCAGAAUGUCGACCUUCUAUGGAGCAGGUUGUCAUGAUGCUAAACACACAGAAUGUGAGCAUACCCGUGCCUAUGCAACCAGCUUACUUCAAUGUAAAUCCUAGCGAGGAAGAAGUUUCAUCAUGCAACAUUACUGUAAGUAUCACAUUAGAAAGGUAGAACCACAUAGUCAUCAGUUCUUCUUUGCUAAAAGGAAAUUGUCAAUGCUCAGAAAGAUACGAUUAACACUAAUUAAAUUUAUCUACAUCCACAAGAAAAUAAUUACAUUUAAUAUAGUGAUCUGAGAUUGCUUAAUGUUUCUGUAUGUCCCUUUUUAUUCCAAAACACAUUUUACUUUUUUUUCGCAUCAGCGUUUGAACAAUAUGUUGUGCCAAAUUUCUUUGUAUUGAAUUUAUUGCGCCCACAAGACAAUGAGGAUUCUUGAGCCUAACGUUGGCAUUUCGAAAACUUAACACCAGUUGCGAGUUUGUCUUCCUAGAGAAAACUGCGCAAGAAGAGUACUCUCUCCGUCCCAAAACAAAUCAACUUUUCAGUUUUUACAUACAAUGGUUAACUCUUCGUCUUAUUAAAAAAAAUUUCUUGAAUUUUUUUUAAAUUUCUUGAAAUUUUUUAAAAUAAGAUAGAUGGUGGUCAAAUGCUCGAUAUAGAAACCGAAAAAUUGGUUUUUCGUAGGACGGAGGGAGUACAGAGGAAGCAAAGCAGCAUAAACGUCAGUAGCUGCUACCAGCGUGUGGUUGUCGACUUGUAGUUACAACUAACAGUAAAAUGGAAUGGGUAAUCAAGCAGAACGAUAAUCGCAUUUCCUGGCCAACUGCUUCAGAGAGUUGCCAGGAAAGUGGACUCAAAUAUCAGAAAAAACGGUGAAGCCAUCCCCUAGCUAUCCAAUCCACAGUUGCUUCUGACGCGCCAUCUCGCUCUCACCACCAGAAAGGCUAACAUCGUUCGCUAUCCUCGCCGAUUUAAUCCCGGAAAAAAAAGGGGGAAAUCGCGAAGUUGACGUUCGAUUCGGAAGCGGAAGAGGAAUAACGCAGUUGAAGAGACGAACCUGCGCCCCCCGCUUUCGUCCAGCUAGGUGAGGGCUGGCCGCGCGCCGCAACCCCUGAGGCCGGAGAUCCGCCCGCCGUCACGGCGGGGGGAGUGCUUCGCCGGUGGAGCUCGCCGCCUCGCCACCCUCGGCGGCCAGGGUAGCCAUCCUGGGCCCAAAACUGUCCA